CAGCCAUAUCCCAUUGAAACACUGAUUCCCGUACAAUCACAAAACUUAAGCAACAUUGAGCUUGGUCAGUACCCAGAUGGGUAACUGCUUGGAAAUACCAGGUGCUGUAAG